GGAGGAAGAAAAGCAGUCUGCUUGUUGGAACAAAAGAAAGGCAGAGUCCAUUUGGGAAGUGCUCAGAUACUAUAUUGAGAGUGUCAGAUAAGAAGAUAAAAUUUAUUAGAAGGAUUAUUCUGUAUCUGCAGAAUUUCUUACAAUCAAGAUAGGGAAUGCUACAAAUACUGAAAUAAACUGAAAAGAAGCAUUAUGACCAACCCCCUCUUAGCUCCUGUUUGGACCACUGACCUCUGCCCUCAUCUUCAUCCUCUGCAGCCUGAUGGUACCACAACUUGCUGGGAUAACACUUCUCUGUAACUGAGACAGACAGGGCAGCAGGUUUCAGAAGCUAUUUACCCUUCAAAACUUCUCAUUAGAGAUUAUAGUAAUUUUUUCUCUUUGGGGACAUUAUGUGAAAUCACCCACACAACAUUAAUCCUACAAAAACGAGUGACAGGUGAUGAAAUGCUGUUUUCUCUCUGACAUUUCCACUACAACCCUUAAAUGCUGAUUUUAUUGAAGUGGAGUCAAUGCCCCUUUGAAAGACCUCAAGGGAGAA